rnacentral:rRNA from 1 species
ACAUGCAAGUCGAACGGCAGCACGGGAGCAAUCCUGGUGGCGAGUGGCGAACGGGUGAGUAAUACAUCGGAACGUGUCCUGGAGUGGGGGAUAGCCCGGCGAAAGCCGGAUUAAUACCGCAUACGCUCUAUGGAGGAAAGCGGGGGAUCUUUCGGGACCUCGCGCUCAAGGGGCGGCCGAUGGCAGAUUAGCUAGUUGGUGGGGUAAAGGCCUACCAAGGCGACGAUCUGUAGCUGGUCUGAGAGGACGACCAGCCACACUGGGACUGAGACACGGCCCAGACUCCUACGGGAGGCAGCAGUGGGGAAUUUUGGACAAUGGGCGCAAGCCUGAUCCAGCAAUGCCGCGUGUGUGAAGAAGGCCUUCGGGUUGUAAAGCACUUUUGUCCGGAAAGAAAACCUCUGGGUUAAUACCCCGGGGGGAUGACGGUACCGGAAGAAUAAGCACCGGCUAACUACGUGCCAGCAGCCGCGGUAAUACGUAGGGUGCGAGCGUUAAUCGGAAUUACUGGGCGUAAAGCGUGCGCAGGCGGUUCGUUAAGACAGAUGUGAAAUCCCCGGGCUUAACCUGGGAACUGCAUUUGUGACUGGCGGGCUAGAGUAUGGCAGAGGGGGGUAGAAUUCCACGUGUAGCAGUGAAAUGCGUAGAGAUGUGGAGGAAUACCGAUGGCGAAGGCAGCCCCCUGGGCCAAUACUGACGCUCAUGCACGAAAGCGUGGGGAGCAAACAGGAUUAGAUACCCUGGUAGUCCACGCCCUAAACGAUGUCAACUAGUUGUUGGGGAUUCAUUUCCUUAGUAACGUAGCUAACGCGUGAAGUUGACCGCCUGGGGAGUACGGUCGCAAGAUUAAAACUCAAAUGAAAUUUG